UGCACUCUCCAUGAGUUUAAUACACGAUGUUUAUGUAUUAUAUAUGAUUUUUCAUUUGUUUUUUGUUAACAUGUCUGCUUAUUGGUUUGACUUGCAUUAUUUAGGAUUUUUAUGAAAAUCUAUUUGAGGCGUUAGAUAAUUACGAAAAAUUUGAGAGAUAAAAGUAUAAAAUGAUAACUUUUAUUGUUGGUAAUACUUUUUGGAGUGGUGCAUUGUAAUUUGACUGUUUACAUUAUAUGUGUGCAAGAGGCUGGAAAAGGAUAUGUUUUAAUGUAAAUUUUUAUUUUUGGUGUAUGUAAAUCAUAUGCUAUAAUUAUUAUUCAUAUAUUUUCAUCAUUUGACAAUAUUUAUUUCAAUUGUCGAUGUAUAAUUACUAUUUGAUUUCUUUUGCAGGUUGUUUGAGAUUUAUUGUUUGUGACAUCAAGUAUGAUAAUUUGGAUUUAAGAUUUCAUUAUGAUGCAAAAAGAAAUGAUGAGGAACUCCAUCUUAGAGAAGCAAGUUGAAAUGGAGAGGAUGAAGCAAGUGAGCAAGUGUAUUAAAUAAUCCGCUCGCAAGAUUGAGGGUAAAAAUUCUGAAGCUGUUGCAGGGUGUUGCGAAAACUUUCAGCAAUAUCAAUUAGAGUCCCUCUGGCUGAUGAUGUUAAGGAGCUUCAUUAGGAAUGUGCAUGCACUAUUCUUAUCUCUUCACAGAAAUAAUGAAAUUGUCUUUCAGCAAUUUGGAAGCCUCAACCUAUUAUACCAGCAAGAUCUAUUUGUUUACUGGAUUGCAAGAGGAGGCCUAAUAAGUCGUUGCUCCUGGGUUCUCCUGUUGUUAUUGCUUUGUCUUUCUUCUCAACUAAUGUCGUGAGCAUCAAAGUCUCCCUUAAUUUGCAGUUUCUCGGGAAUCAUCCAAUACAUGUCAAACUAUCAAAAUUAAUUGAAAUUGUGGCGGAUAGUACAAGGAUCGGAAACAAAUAAAUCUUGGCUUCCAAAACAAAGAAUUGACGAGGUAUUACUUGAUUCCACGAAGGUUAAGAAAUGGUUGGAGGAGAAAGAGGCUGAACAGGCUAAGGCACAGGAAAUCAUCAAAAAAAGAGAGAAUCUGCAGCUAUCUUUCUCACUGGCAGAUUAUUAGAAACAAUGAGGAGAUAUAGAGGUCCUGAGGCCACGGCUGAGUACAUUCAUAGCACGCUGAACAUUAGAUCAUGACUAUGUCAAAUAUGAUCGGGUCAGUGGAACAAAUGUCGCUAGCUGAUCAUCCGGUUAAGGGCUUUUAUUUCAUGGUAGUUGGGGUUCCGCAGCUUUUGUUCCUCGGCGGUCUUCCUUUUCUUGAGAAACAAGCCUCUCACAUUGCACACUUGAUUGCUGGGAGAUUUGGCAAGCAUCUAUUUUAAUUGAUAAAGAUGUAGACAUGCCUCUUCUCCAAAUGGGUCAUGACCUGGAUGAUCUUAAUUUUAUGUUAGCAAGGAUUUAAGAUCAUCCAUUAUAAAGGAUUUAGGAUUCAUGUUAGCAAGGAUUUAAGUGCUCUUUGAUGUUUGUAUGUAAACUUGGUUGAGUAGUGCUACAUGUACAAAAUUGGGUACAUAAUUUUACACAAAAUGACAUGGCAAUCUAGGUGGGGAGUUUUAAUUAGUGCUAUUAAUGCAUGUGCAGGGGGCCCAUUCCAAUCACAAGUUGACACAUACUCAUUCUGUUCUGUGCAUGUAGCAUUUUCCAACUUGGUUUUAUGAUUUUGAUAUACCUAAAUAGUUUUUCCCCAGCUGUCCUUAUGUUUGUGUGUUUAACACUGUGUAGUAAACUACGAUACGAAAAUGAUGAGGGAACGUCAACGGAGUUUUGCAAGUAAUGC